CACAAUUAAAUAUGAAGGCUGUACGCGGCUGUGCUCUCGGGCCAGUUUUGCGGAGGCUGAAUUAUUUAUUACCCUUGUCUUUUGCGCACUUGUUGUUUCCUGGGCGGGUUCGCCCGCCACCAGGACCACAUCAUAAACCUUUUUUUAUGCAGUUGCAAUCAGCGUCAGUAUAACAAAUGUAAAAUCAUUUA
rnacentral:misc_RNA from 1 species